GUGCAGGAGAGCAGACGACAGGUGCACGAGGCAUGGCAUGCUCCUCAACCCGACUGAAGAGAAGUCAUGGAGAGCAAAGAUGCGCCUAUAUGAUGACUGGGAAAGCGUGAAGAGAAUGCAGAGACAUUUUGCAGGGAAGAGAAGAAGACGCUUUCACUAUAAGGAACAAAACAACACCCAUCGUGUUUCAUACAAGCGUUUCAGGAGGAGGAUUACCCGAAGGAGCAGCAGCGAGGGUCCCGCUGCCAGUACACCACUGACCACUGGGGGGCAGUGUGAGCCCAGCUGUGAGUUUGAUACAGUCUGUCAGAGGCUGGUGUUGGACUCUCCUCAACCGCAACACAAAGUCCUCCGGGGAAACCUUCGAGAGACAGCAAAAACAGAUGUGUCCACCUGCAUCGCUGCUGCACCCACAGUACGCACUGUCACUUCUCAUCUUGCCAAGGAAAAUGCCCCACAACAGGGUUGGGUGUGGAGAGAUGCAGUUAAAGAACAUGGGAUCUCUCAGCAGGCCGGUAAAGCCUCUGAUGACAAACUACAUGACUUGCAGCCGUUUGCUGUUCUGGAGAAAGCUUCUGUGAGUCUGCAAGUAAAGGCCGUGAUGAAGAUGGCAGCACCAACGCUGAUGAAUGACUAUUACUCAAAUGUACUCGACUGCAGUUGUAAUGGUGUGAUUGCAUUAGCACUGGGCUCUUCUGUUUACCUUUGGAACUCAGAAACUCAGGCUCUGUUGGGAUGUUUGUGCCCGAGUCCACAACCAGGACCUCUGCACCUUCAGACUCAGUCCGUCUCGUCUCUGUGCUGGAGCAGAGACGGCAGAUCUCUGUGCGUCGGGACCAGGCGAGGGGAGAUACAGUUGUGGGAUGUUGAACAGAACCAAAGGGUGAGGUGUCUCCCUUCACACCUGUCUGUGGUCAGAGCUCUUUCCUGGAAGCAGCAGUUACUCAGCAGCGGCUCUAUUCUUGGACGUAUCCAUCACUUUGACCCUCGGGUUCCUGCACCUCUGGUUGGUGCAGCUGUGCAGCGGGACGGGAUCUGCAGCCUGCAGUGGUCACCAGGAGACAACAUGCUGGCCAGUGGCUCCACAGAGGGUCUUCUCUGUAUAUGGGAUAGUGACGUCGCAGGGUUCACAAGGUCACGUCGGCCAAUAACUACAAUGAAACAUCCCUGCGCUGUAAAGGCGAUGGGAUGGUGUCCAUGGCAGAGGAAGAUGAUUGCUACAGGAGGAGGAUGGAAAGAUGGAGAGUUAAGGAUCUGGGACGCAGAUUCUGCAUCUUGUAUUAGUUCUGUAAACACUAACUCACAGAUCUGUUCUCUUCAAUGGGCUGAGAAGAAGAGAUGUCUGGUCACAGGUCACGGCCUUCCUCAUCACCAAGUCACCUGCUGGACCUGGGAGUUUCCCUCCCUCAGACCGACCUUCCAGCUCACAGGUUAGAGAACCUGGAACACAUUUAUGUGCAACUACAGGCCUUAAUCAUCUCUGUGAAUAACCUUCACUACAGCCUAGGGUUGUCCCGAUACCAGAAUUUUUAACUUCAAUAAAAUAUUUGUAAAGAUCUAAAUAAUAAAAAUAUUGACUAAAGUUUCGAUAGCACCCAAUAUGGGGUCAUUCUUUUUUCUUUUUUUUUCAACCAAAAAUGUCAAGCAAACUUUUUCACACGUCUAAGUUUCAAAAAUGUAUUGGCCAAUUUUCUGAUCCGGAACAUAUUUGCCAUUUAGACAGUUCUCGCUCUCUUUCAUUUAAGGGAUACAAAUAUGAAACUUAAAAUUGUGACAACCUCACUACAGCCUCAUGGCACAAAAUGAAUUGCAUCAUUGUUCAUAUAGCAGAAUAAGUGUGUCAGUUGGACCACAGCUACAGCUCUGCCUUCGUUUAUGACAAGGGUGUAAACCAUGACUGUGUGAUUACUCAUUUAUGUCCAGGCUUCAAAGUAAUUGUGAAACUAUGAGUUGAAACAAAACACAAGUCAAACAUUUGAAAUAAGAUUUCUCAAUUUCCUGAUGUAUUGGGAAUCGCUGUAGGCAUAAAUAACCAAUAUGUAAAAAUAAAUGUGUUCUGAAAUCCUUUUAAGAUUAUUUACAAAAAGGUUUGAGUUCAUAAAUCUUUAUCAUUUGUUAUGUAUUCAGUUAUAUAUUGCAGUUACUGUUGAUUUGAGCCGAAAGAUCAGGAUGACUUAGUAUUUAGAUUCACUUCAUCACACUGUUCAACAACAUUUUGUAUAUUUAUAUUUGUAAAUGUUGUUGAUAUUCAAUGCUUCUACAUAGCUUAUUAUUUCUUUAGAUAAUCUGCCCUUUGGUACUUAUCACUUAUAUGUAUUUUAUAUUUCCUACUUCUAUCCUAUUGUUUUUAAGAGCAACUAACGACCAACCAAUAAUUUCAAAUGUAUUAACUCCUAAAACCUUUCUUUAGAGUUGAGUGAAUGAGCAAUAUUGCAUUCAAAUUGAAAUGUAACAUUAAAAACAAAGAAAAACACCUUAUAGUCAGCUAAAGCAAGUCUUUCAAGGUAAGCACUAAUGUAAUAAUGAAUUGAAGUUGUUGAAACAUUAAUGCACUUUGUUUUAUAUGUUGGGAA